CUUCUCUCUCUUUCUGGAGCCACAGUCGAUUCAGUCUUCCAAACUGCUUCUCUUCGUUUCUUGCCAUUCCUGCAGCAUUUCCGUCAACACGGAGUCACGUGACAAGAGUGGACAGACGGUCACAUGACACGGAGGAAGAAAGUCACACAGCUUUUGGAACAACAUUAAGAGUAAAUAUGACCAUCUGAAACCAGCACACAACCAUGGACAGCCACAGCACUAUGAAAGAAAAUGAGACGGGUUUGAAAUGACAUGAGGCUUAACCUGAGACUGUCAGCGGUGGUACAUUGUGCAGGUCUGGCGAGUCGUAAGUGCAAUGUACUGUCCAGGUCUGUACCUUUCUGACAGUUAAUGGGUCAGUGGACAGACAUUUUUGCAUUUAGACUGUAUUUUUGGAAAAAAAAAAUAACUUAGAACUAAACAAUUCUAUAAGAUGCCAAAAAAGAUUGUUAUAUUAAUGCUAAAAGACUGUAAAAACCUGUGAACUGGUUAAUGAUAAGUGCCCUCACUAUAUACUGUAUGGUGAAAAACUGUAAUAGAUCAAACAGGACAUUUAAUGUACAUUAGUUUUGUUACAUCUUUGUUACAUCUUAUGUUGAUAAAUUCAUGUUUAUUGCAUUAUUUUAGAGAGAUUUUAUCUUUUGUGUGUUUUGUAUUUGCGUGUAUGAAACUGUGCACCUUCUAUAUAUUAAUAUUUACCUCAGCUUGUGGAAAAGGAAGAACUUUGAUUCAUGUCACUUAUACCAUGUCACUUAUACCAAUUUAGAUUAUAUAUAAAAGUAUAUAUUAUUAUAAAGUAUAUAUAAUUAUAUAAAAAUUAUAAAUUAUACAUAAAGUUCAAUAGUUAAAAAGUUGCUUCUGCCACUUUGUUUGUUUUUGUUGUUUUACUGUAAAUGUCACUUUUUUGUGUGUACAGUGUAUGUGUGUUUGCAAAUUUAGAUAAGAGACAAAAUUGUACCCAAAAGUCUGACAAAACCUUCCUUUAGGGAUAUUUAAGGAUGUGCUCAUGUAGAAAAAUAAUUCAUAAAGAAACUUUUAUAUAUAUAUAUAUAUAUAUAUAUAUAUAUAUAUAUAUAUAUAUAUAUAUAUAUAUAUAUAUAUAUAUAUAUAUAUAUCAGAGAAAUACAUAUGCUGUGUAAUCAAAUAAAUGCACAUGAGCUCAUUCUGUGAUCUUUAUAUACUUUAAUGUUAAUGAGUGUUUGAGUAGUUGCAAGUGAAUAAAUAACAUUAACAAAUAAGGUUCUCUUUCUUCUGUUUAUGCUGUCAUCUCUUUAUCCAGGCCAUAUUCAGACCUCAGUCAUCAUAAAGAGAUUUCAGCCUCUCAUCUGCCCCUCUACACCAGUGAACAGCAUGUACCUCUAAUAGUGUGUGUGUGUGUGUGUGUGUGUGUGUGUGUGUGUGUGUGUGUGUGUGUGUGUGUGUGUGUGUGUGUGUGUGUG